GACGUUGACUCUCUGUGCUGCACUGAUCUGGAUCUUUGCCUUCAGCGUAUCAACAGUGAGCUGCCAGAUUAACAUCAAGGGUUUAAUUGGAGAAGAUGUCCUGUUGCCCUGCAUCUACAAUGGGAGGAACUCUAUCCCAGAGGAUGUUUCCUUGCUCUGGUGGGACAAGCAGAAAAAAGUCCUGUUAACCCUCGUCAACGG